UUGCUCUCUGUGCAGCCACUCCCGCCAAGGGGCUCUCGGGGCCGGCGCGACGGUGGUUCUUGUCUUUUGGCUCCCUGGGCAGCGUUCUUUUUCCUGCGUGCGCGUUAACAAUUAAUCAUCAGAGAUCAUCACAGAACCCAUGCCCUCCUCGCCUACCACUCUCAGUUCCCCUCGGGGAGGAUUAAGGUUCUACUAAGAACUUACCUGACGUGACUGAGGGAAUUUCGCGUCCCUCCCUGCUCCCGGAGGCUUCCUCUGCAGACCCUCUGACCCAUUUGUGCGCGCCCCCGAGCGUUUGUGCUCCAGGUGUCCUAAGGUUGCACUUUACUCGUGGCUCCUUGGAGAAGGCAUAUGGGGCAUAGGAAUUCUGGCCCCAAACCAGAGAGAAGGCUUGUUGAGAAUUCUCAAGGAAAGAAUUUUCUUUUUUCCCUUUUAUCCAGCACAAAGGCCAAGAAAGGAAUUUGAUGAGAUAUCUGCCACUGUCUCUCUAUCUCUCUCAGAAAUGGACCAAGACCCCCUAAACACCACCAUAUGGAAAUGAUAGUUGAACAGCUUAAGAUAAAGAUAAAGAUGGCAACUGGGGCUUCUCUGGUGGCACAGAGGUUAAGAAUCCACCUGCCAAUUCAGGGGACACGGUUCAAGCCCUGGUCCGGGAAGAUGCCACAUGCUGCGGAGCAAUUAAGCCCAUGCACCACAACUACUCUAGAGCCCACAAGCUACAACUGCUGAGCCCGUGGGCCACAACUACUGAAGCCUGUGUGCCUAUAGCCCGUGUUCUGCAACUGCAACAAGAGAAGACACCGCAAUGAGAAGCCCACGCACGUCAACAAAGAGUAGCCCCUGCUCGCCGCAACUAGAGAAAGCCCACGCACAGCAAUGAAGACCCAACGCAGCCAAAAAUUAAAUAAAUAAAGAUGGCAACUACUACUGUUUGAUAUUGCUGUCCAACCAUGCCUGGAUGAAAGCAUACCAUAGAAAAAGGAGUACACUUUUAUAUGUAGCUGGAUGAGUAUUUCUGGGAAGGAGAAAUGUGCAUUUAUAUUAAUCGUACUGGAAAUGUUCUUUCCAUGGCAGAGAAACUAGAUGGAGAGAGCUCUGCUCUCAGCCCAAUAGCCCCUGACAGGAUUUCAAAAACUGGAUGAUCCCCCAAAAACUGAACUCUACUAUACAAUAUAAAUAAGACGGGCCAAUUGAGGCAGGAAAUUCCCUUUGAGAGAUGUCAAUGGAAGAUGGUUUCUGGUUGGCUCACACAUGAGCUUCGUCUAACACCAGAUCUUUAAAGAAGAUAGGACUGUUUCUGGAGGAAGACAGAUCUAUGAGCAAUAUGGCAGAGUUCGUGGAAGCGAGGCCAAGCUAUACCAGAAACAAGUUUGGGGAAAACAAUAGAAGAAAUGACACAACUGGAUGCUACCAACAGCUACACAUAGGAUUUUUGCAGGUGAUGCAGAAUGGGUUCCAUAUAUGAAGACUGGGGUACUAGGAAAUACUGCGAUGCUUUAUGAAGAAAUUAGGACCUUACCAGUUAAUUAUUGGGUUGAGUAAAACAGGGUAGGGAAAGUGUGGAAGGGUGUCCACACUUUUGUUCUAACUGUUUUUGGAGUUAAAGCAAAUCUUCAAGAAAGGAAAGACUGUGAAAAAAAAGAGUACCCAAAGUUCUUGAUCAUUCAGCAAAAAGAGAACAAGAAGAGAUCACCUUUAUGUAAGAAUUUGCAGAAGUGUUAUAUGGGGUAACAGAGAAUACAGGUAGUGGAAUGAGGUGUGGAGAGCUGAGCGAGAAUCAACAAGCACUGUCUGGAAUUAUUUGAAAUCAGGCUGCCUAAAGUGUCAAGGACUUCCUGGGAGCACCCUAUUGUUACAAUUAACUCUGGAGGGGAGAAAGCUAAGGCCAUAGAAACUUAUCAGAUGAUAAGUUGGUUAAAACAGAUUAUGGAUUAUUUGGAAUGCUUGAAAAUCAAAUCUGGUGCAUUUCAUACAUAUAAAAAUAGCAGUAUGAUAGCCUAAAUAAUUAUAAGAAUUUAACAUUUACCCUUCAUUGAAGUCUAUUGGAUUUGAUUUUUAUACAAAAUAUUAAUUAGAUGAAACAGAUUCAAUACCUGAAGUAAAUGUACAGGCUUAAAACCACUUUAUCCUGAAAUAGCUUAAUAAUUUAUCCAAAGAAAAGUAUGUUUUGCUUGUUUGUUUAGCUUGAACUGGAUCACCUGGACAACUGCCUCAAUUUUUUCUCUCAGCAUUUAGAUACGUGUUGUCCAAUAUGUGAGCUAUUGAACUCUUAUAAUAUGGCUGAUCUGAAUUGAGAUGCGCUGUAAGUUAUAAUACAAACCAGACUUAGAAGACUUAUGAAAAAUAAUGUAAAACAUGUUAUUAAUAAUUUUUAUAUUAAUGUCAUGUUGAAAUGAUAAUAUUUUGGAUGUAUUGGGUUAAAUGUAUUGUUAAAAUUAAUUUCAUCUUUCUUUUUCUUUUUAAUGUGGCUACAAGAAAAUUUUAAAUUACGGAUGCACUGUAUAUUUUUAUUGCACAGUACUGAUUUAGACAUUACCUUCAUAACAUAUUUAAUAAGAAUUCAAAAAUCUGAUGAAUGUCCCAACAGAAAUAGUUGGCUCUUUUCUGUAGCAUAAUAAAUAACAGUUUUGGGUAAAUGAAUGCUUGGUUUUAAUAUUUUAAUAUAUCUUCAAUAUAGUAACAUUAUACUUGAUCAGUUUCUAUGUGCGAUCAGUAAAUACUAAACAUAUUUCAGCUAACUGCCCUUGAGAGGCAAAAUGUUUUAGAAUGCCGCUAAUGUUUCUUCAAGUAGUCACUAUCAAUGAUUAUAAAACAUUAAACAUUAGAAACAUUUGAAUUCUCUAUCCACUUCAUUAUUUACAUUGUGAAUAUUUGCUUUUUGUUCCUAAAUUUACGUAUGUUCUGCCUGAAAUAAAUAUUCUAUUUUUGUAGUCAUCUACUUCACUGGCAUAAACACCUGAUUGUCCAUGAGAAUUACUGGCUUAGA